GUUUGAAAUAUCGCACUCUUACGAAGAACAUCUCUCUUUUUUUAAGAGAAAUAGAGAUUACCACAUCUCUUCUCAAAGGAAUCCUGAAAAAAAAUUAAAAAAAGAAGGUUUGAGAUACUGACUGAAUCUGGGGGAUUACACCUAGAUUCACCUGGCAGUCCACUCUCCAAAAUUGUCGUCUUCUCUAAAAAAAGGGCAGGGUCUGCCGUGAAGAAGCAGCUGAACUGAGUGGACAGGUCGUUUAGCUAAACAGAAUUAAACGCCAAAGUUAAGAAGAUUGGAAAAGAACCAUUGUAAAACUGAUCACUCAUGGAAAAAAAUCAAUUCAAAGUUGAAAUGGUAUUUUUUAUGCCUUUGUGAAAACAGAGUAGUUUGGUAACGUUUUGAGCAGCAGCCCUUUAUCGGGGUGACACUUCUGUUUUGAGUGUUAGCCAUUCGUUGGAGCUUAAAAACGCUUAAAGCUAUGCUGUUUUAAACAUUCUAUUACAACCUUAUCUUUUUCCCUUGAUUUCACCAAGCCUACACAGACCACCUAGUUAUUCUACGGCUUGUUUCUGGGUUUUAUCUGUCAUACCUGAUGACUCAUGUCCUUCAUGUAACGCUCCAGGUCAUUCAUUAAGUCAUAGCCUUGGUGGUAGUACGUAAAGUGGGAAUGCAUGAAUUUUGACAGCUGUAAAAAUCAAUUUGUACAGUAAUAAGAACAGAUACAUUGAAAUACAAUAAAGUAUUGAAAACACCA